rnacentral:lncRNA from 1 species
GAUGACUUCACGUCAUUACUAUGUUUUAACCACAUUUUAGGGCAUUUCUAGAUAGCAUUUAGUAUGUUUUUAUGCAAGAAUAAAGAGGAAAAGAAUCAUGACAAGAAUGCUCGGAACACAAGGAUUUGAAGCCAAAAAGUGAAGGAAUAGAAGUGUACUGCGCCUAGACCAACAAAGCAUCACGCGCCGCGCCCAGAAGCUGCUAGAAGUGUCUGUAGAUUCUGCCAAGCUGGCGCGCCGCGCAG